rnacentral:rRNA from 1 species
GGGAGGCGGGGUAAAGGACUAGAGUGCAGUCGAGCGGACCGAACGGAAGCUUGCUUCUGUUCGGUUAGCGGCGGACGGGUGAAAAAAAAGUGGGUAACCUGCCCGUAAGACCGGGAUAACUCCCGCCAAACCGGGGCUAAUACCGGAUAACACCGAAGACCGCAUGGUCUUUGGUUGAAAGGUGGCUUUUGCUACCACUUACGGAUGGGCCCGCGGCGCAUUAGCUAGUUGGUGAGGUAACGGCUCACCAAGGCGACGAUGCGUAGCCGGCCUGAGAGGGUGACCGGCCACACUGGGACUGAGACACGGCCCAGACUCCUACGGGAGGCAGCAGUAGGGAAUCUUCCGCAAUGGACGAAAGUCUGACGGAGCGACGCCGCGUGAGCGAAGAAGGUCUUCGGAUCGUAAAGCUCUGUUGUUAGGGAAGAAGAAGUACCGUUCGAAUAGGGCGGUACGGUGACGGUACCUAACGAGAAAGCCCCGGCUAACUACGUGCCAGCAGCCGCGGUAAUACGUAGGGGGCGAGCGUUGUCCGGAAUUAUUGGGCGUAAAGCGCGCGCAGGCGGUCCCUUAAGUCUGAUGUGAAAGCCCACGGCUCAACCGUGGAGGGUCAUUGGAAACUGGGGGACUUGAGUGCAGAAGAGGAGAGCGGAAUUCCACGUGUAGCGGUGAAAUGCGUAGAGAUGUGGAGGAACACCAGUGGCGAAGGCGGCUCUCUGGUCUGUAACUGACGCUGAGGCGCGAAAGCGUGGGGAGCAAACAGGAUUAGAUACCCUGGUAGUCCACGCCGUAAACGAUGAGUGCUAAGUGUUAGAGGGGUUAAACCCUUUAGUGCUGUAGCUAACGCGUUAAGCACUCCGCCUGGGGAGUACGGCCGCAAGGCUGAAACUCAAAGGAAUUGACGGGGGCCCGCACAAGCGGUGGAGCAUGUGGUUUAAUUCGAARCAACGCGAAAAACCUUACCAGGUCUUGACAUCCCCUGACAACCCUGGAGACAGGGCGUUCCCCCUUCGGGGGGACAGGGGGACAGGGGGGGCAUGGUUGUCGUCAGCUCGUGUCGUGAGAUGUUGGGUUAAGUCCCGCAACGAGCGCAACCCUCGCCCCUAGUUGCCAGCAUUCAGUUGGGCACUCUAGGGGGACUGCCGGCUAAAAAUCGGAGGAAGGUGGGGAUGACGUCAAAUCAUCAUGCCCCUUAUGACCUGGGCUACACACGUGCUACAAUGGGCGGUACAAAGGGCUGCGAACCCGCGAGGGGGAGCGAAUCCCAAAAAGCCGCUCUCAGUUCGGAAUGCAGGCUGCAACUCGCCUGCAUGAAACCCGAAUCGCUAGUAAUCGCGGAUCACCAUGCCCCGGUGAAUACGUUCCCGGCCUUGUACACACCCGCCCGGUCACACCACGAGAGCUGCACACCGAAGUCGUGAAGUAACCGUAAGGAACCAGCCCCCGAAGGUGGGGCCAGUGGAUGGGUGAAAUCUAACAAGGUAACCGGAA